rnacentral:tRNA from 1 species
ACGGAUCGUAGUUGAUGGCGCAGCGGGGGUGAUUGCAGGUCGCCUCCAGGAACAUCUCGAAGGUCGCGCCGUCGAACACGUCC